CACUCCUGCGGGAGGCAGCAGUGGGGAAUUUUGGACAAUGGGCGAAAGCCUGAUCCAGCAAUGCCGCGUGUGUGAAGAAGGCCUUCGGGUUGUAAAGCACUUUUGUCCGGAAAGAAAUCCUUGGCUCUAAUACAGUCGGGGGAUGACGGUACCGGAAGAAUAAGCACCGGCUAACUACGUGCCAGCAGCCGCGGUAAUACGUAGGGUGCGAGCGUUAAUCGGAAUUACUGGGCGUAAAGCGUGCGCAGGCGGUUUGCUAAGACCGAUGUGAAAUCCCCGGGCUCAACCUGGGAACUGCAUUGGUGACGGGCAGGCUAGAGUAUGGCAGAGGGGGGUAGAAUUCAACGUGUAGCAGUGAAAUGCGUAGAGAUGUGGAGGAAUACCGAUGGCGAAGGCAGCCCCCUGGGCCAAUACUGACGCUCAUGCACGAAAGCGUGGGGAGCAAACAGGAUUAGAAACCCUAGUAGUCCC
rnacentral:rRNA from 1 species